GGGGAUGUAGCUCAGUUGGUUAGAGCGCCAGCCUGUCACGCUGGAGGUCGACGGUUCGAGCCCGUUCAUCCUCG
rnacentral:tRNA from 1 species